CCUACGGGAGGCAGCAGUGAGGAAUAUUGGUCAAUGGACGAGAGUCUGAACCAGCCAAGUCGCGUGAAGGAUGACUGCCCUAUGGGUUGUAAACCUCUUUUAUAUGGGAAUAAAAUGUUCCACGUGUGGUACUAUGUAAGUACCAUAUGAAUAAGGAUCGGCUAACUCCGUGCCAGCAGCCGCGGUAAUACGGAGGAUACGAGCGUUAUCCGGAUUUAUUGGGUUUAAAGGGAGCGUAGGUGGAUUGGUAAGUCAGUGGUGAAAGUUUGCGGCUCAACCGUAAGAUUGCAGUUGAAACUGGCAGUCUUGAGUACAGGAGAGGUAGGCGGAAUUCGUGGUGUAGCGGUGAAAUGCUUAGAUAUCACGAAGAACUCCGAUUGCGAAGGCAGCUCACUGGACUGCAACUGACACUGAGGCACGAAAGUGUGGGUAUCGAACAGGAUUAGAUACCCUAGUAGUC
rnacentral:rRNA from 1 species